AUGGCACAAGAACUGGUUCUGCGACUAGACAUUGCUCAGGAAAAGUGCCUCCUCACGCCUGCUGAAUUAGAGUUUAGGAAAAUAAUAAAGCUCCGCCUUCUGGGUUUAGCGGCCAUUGACAAGGCAAGGAAAAAGCAAUGCUCCAGGAUCAAUUGGUUGCGGGCGGGGGAUGCUAGCACGACAUUUUUCCAUGCCAAGAUAAAUGCUAGGAAACAGAAAAACUUCAUCCUAUCCCUGAACAGAAAUGGUACGCCCGUGACAAGCCACCCUGAAAAAGAAGAGGUGAUCAAGGAUCACUUCACCAGGCUACUAGGCACACAACAGCGCCGCGCAUGCACAAUAAACUGGGAUGAAAUCCAGUUGCCCCAAGUAGACACAUUAGGCCUAGAUAUACCUUUCUUGGAAGUUGAAGUUUGGAAUGCAAUCAAGCAAUCACCGCCAGACCAAGCCCCUAGACCGGAUGGAUUCUCAGGUGCUUUCUACAGGAGAUGCUGGCAAACCAUAAAACAAGAUCUCAUGCGUGCCCUGCAACAAUUCCAUGAUCUUAAUGGAGGACACGGUUUCAAAAACCUGAAUGCAGCAUUGGUGGUGCUCAUCCCAAAGACUCCGGAUCCAACCGACGUCAGACAAUUCCGACCAAUUAACCUUGUGCACUCCUUUGCAAAGCUUGUCACCAAAAUCCUAGCCCUGCGCCUAGCCCCAAAACUUGGUAGUCUUAUCUCCCCAACCAAAGUGCCUUCCUCAAGACUAGAUGCAUACAUGAUAGUUUCUUCUUCGUCAAAAAUGAUGCACAUAGCCUGCAUUGUAAAAAGAAGCCCGCACUGCUCUUCAAGAUGGACAUUGCAAAAGCGUUUGACUCAAUCUCAUGGGAGUACUUACUUGAACUCCUUCAGAAGUUAG
rnacentral:rRNA from 1 species